AGAGUUGAUCCUGGCUCAGGAUGAACGCUAGCUACAGGCCUAACACAUGCAAGUCGGAGGGGCAGCAUGGGAGGAGCUUGCUUUCCCGAUGGCGACCGGCGAAGUGGGUGAGUCACGCGUGUCCAACCUCGCCCCCCGCCCGGGGAUAGCCCUUGGAAAUGAGGAUUAAGACCCGAUACGUGCGCUUUCCGCAUGGCGAGCGCAUGAAACCAGGCGAGGGAUGGGGACGCGUCGGAUUAGCUUGACGGCGGGGCAACGGCCCACCGUGGCGACGAUCCGCAGGGGUUCUGAGAGGAAGGUCCCCCACACUGGCACUGAGACACGGGCCAGACUCCUACGGGAGGCAGCAGUGAGGAAUAUUGGUCAAUGGCCGAGAGGCUGAACCAGCCAAGUAGCGUGCAAGGAUGACGGCCCUACGGGUUGUAAACUGCUUUUGCGGGAGGAUAAAGUGCGCCACGUGUGGCGCUUUGCAGGUAUCCCGUGAAUAAGGACCGGCUAAUUCCGUGCCAGCAGCCGC
rnacentral:rRNA from 1 species